ACUUUUUUCAGUUCAUUGCCUGUUGCUAUAUUCCAAGACCCUUAGAGAAGAUUUUUCUUGUAUGUUGCUGACAAUGAUCCUAUGCAAACUACUCAGUCUUAUCACAACCUUGUGGCUCACUUCUGCACUUGGAUCAGGAGCUGAGGAACUCUGAUAAGAACAUGAAAAAUUAUUCCCAUUGGGGAAAUUAACAGCACUGAGAUGAGCUCUUACUGGCACCCCUGCAUGACCCCAGCUCCAGCAAGGAGCUCACCUUCUCCCAGGACCCCAGGGCCAAGUAGGACUCCAUCCUGGUACAGAUUCUGUCUACUCUGAACCAGAUCAGCUGACAGGAUCAAGGCCAGAAGAAAAAACUACUCUGCUGAAGGCAAUGAAGCUCUCAAAGCAAUCUUUUAAAAGAAAAGUUCCACUAGGUAGCAUGCUUCUCUGGGGUGCAAAAGCAAUCUGUUAUAUGGCAGUGCUGAGACAAGAGAGACGGGGCCUGAUGAUUGUGGUGAAGCUCAGCUGCACAGAAAAGAUUGGAGGAAAAGAGCAAGAUUCUCUCACGCUUCCAAACAGCUCAAAAUAGCUGAUAAUUCUCCAAGCCUGAAGUCUGUCAUGUUAAAAGUAGUAUUCCCUCAACCGAGAAGGUUACACAGGUAGCAGGUUUGGGUAGAAAAAAAGAGUAUGCUGUAACUGAAGGGAGGAAAAUUAGUAACAUAAGCCUGAGCUGUGAAGUUCUAAUGGCACUGAAAGCUAAGUGCCAGGGACACUCACCAGGCACUUCAGGAUUCUCCUGCACCAUAUCUAAUGUGCGGAUUAGCACCUUCCCUUUCAAACUUUGAAAAUUCACAGACACAGAAAUCCCUGAAAUAGGAAUAGGGGAAAGGCGUGGUGAGCUGGGUCUAGCACAAACAAAAAAACCUGUUCUCUAAAAUAAUCACAGUCAUUUUUAAUAACACAAAAUCUCAUUUUUAAACUAAAAGAGCUUGUUAGAAGAACACAAGAACACAAGAACAAAGUUGCAGCUUUUUAAACACAAGCUGCAGCUUUGUUUUGCACAGCAAAACUGAGUACAGUGGAAGCUGCUCUGCUGGCUGACAGCUCUCCAUCUCCUGGGAACUGCUGCUCUCUGGUGCUCAUCUUCCAAACAAAAAUCUGGGACAAUUUCCCUUUCAUUCACUUCACUCAGCUUUCAAUGUUGCUACUGAACUGCCUCAUCAAGAGAAGAAUCAAGAUGUAGUAACUCAUGUUCAGACACGCAUCCUUUCUAAUUAAGUGUUGGGAAAUAAUAUGCACUUGAAUUGUAAGAUGGGCCUAUGCAAUAUGUAAGUGAGAUUGAGAGUCAAUUUACAAAUUGGGCUUUGUACAGCGUGGUGUCUCCUAUGCAUGUGACAUAAACAGCUAAGAAAAUUCUAAUUUUGGUAGUGCUGGUAGCCUAGUUUAAACAUUUUCAGCAGAGCAUGUCUGGACUCCUCAUUUCAAAAUUAUUUUCAUUUUGAAAUUGAUGGAGGCAUCUUGAAAAUGGGGUUAAAUAACCUGAAAAUGAAACAAAGCACUCUUUUUUGCAGCUGGAUGGUUGAUUCACCAUUUCUCAAAGAGACUGUUUGCUUUAAAAGGAGUAUAAAUCCUGUGCUGGGUCCCUACAGUCACAAGGACCUUUGAUGCAUUUUGCAAGUGAUGGCUUAAUUUCUGUUUUGAUUUUAUAGUACAGAAACUACACGGCUGAAAUAAUGAAUGAUUGGGUAAUAUAUCUUUCACUAUUUAUCGGUUAUUUUCAUCACAGUUCUGCCAUUUUUAUUCCCUCUGCAAUCCAGUACAUCUUCCUCGAUGUGAGAGGCUGGUGAACUAAAUAAAUAUAAAGCAGAAACUGUCUGCAGAAAAAUGUCUAUUAGAAGUUCUCUCCUUUCCGUUUUAGAUAAUUAUGUCCUAUAAACUGCACAAAGGAAAUAACAAAGUCAGCCAGUAAAUCAGAGGCAGUAAGUAGAAAAAAGGACUGUUGAUGGUGUCUUUAACUGCUGAAAAUGGAUAUAUGCAUGAAGUAGAAAUUCUUUAGAAAAUCAUAGUUAUUUCUGACCUUACUGAAAUUCCUGCUGCUCAUUACCAAGAUUUAAGAGGUUGAUGCUAGGAAGGGUAACAGUUAAAUUUAAUGAAAGUUGCAGCACUCAUGCUUUCUGGGCUACUGCAAUUAUAUUUGACAGAAACUGUAGAAGCAUUUAGUUCACCUUGAACUGAUCAUCAAAACAUCCUAUGUUGUUAUUCGCAGUGAUUUCAACAUCCAUUGCUUGUUAUAACUCUAGAGUGGUUUUGCUAAUACUUCUAUUUCCUACUUGUUCUGCUUUUGUUAAAAAUGCUUGUCUUUUAAAUAUUAUAUGCACCAAUUUCACGUACAGAAAUAUUGUGCAAACCUAUCUACUUAUACAAUAAAAAAGGUAGGGAGUUAAGAGGAAGAAGGCAGCAAGAGGUCUUUGUGCUGGCAAAAUCUAUUCACACUUCUCAAAUUUAAAAAGUACACUUUUCAUGUGAGUAUUUACUAAUUGUAAAAUGUCAGCACAGGAGUAUCCUGUUUUAUUUGGGGAGUUUUUUUGAAUGUAUGGACAUUUCAUAUAAAUAAUGCUUCUCCAAACCAUCCUUACACAAUCAUUUUUAUUAUCUAUUUGCAUUGUGAGUUCUGGAAUAUCUAUCUCCAAAAAGAUUAUUAUUUUCAUAAUUUGCCACUUACAAAUGUGGGUUACAUUUUAGCUGCCAACAACUCAGGAAUCAUCUGUGGUUAUAGGUUCCAGCUGAAUACUUCCAAGGCAUUUAUGUGUUGUAAUAGAAUUAUUCUUCAGAUCACGCCACAAAAUUAGGAAACUGUGAGGUAAUUUCCAAUAAACAAUUACUAUAUCAUUUACUGAGUGAUUGGGGGUGGGGGGAAAGUGGAUGCAAGGAAGCUGCUGUUUCUUGCUUAUUGUGUAUCCCUUAAAUGAGCACAAGGUAAACGAGAAUGGCCUGCAACUAACCCUGAAGUACAAGACAGAGAUGAUGCCUGAAGAGGCCACCUAAAAACAGAGACUAGACAAGAAUAAGGGAAUA